rnacentral:rRNA from 1 species
UCCUACGGGGGGCAGCAGUGGGGAAUCUUGCGCAAUGGGCGAAAGCCUGACGCAGCGACGCCGCGUGGGGGAGGAAGGGCUUCGGCUUGUAAACCCCUGUUGCCCGGGACGAAUCCCUGGUUUCGACCAGGUUGACGGUACCGGGUGAGGAAGCACCGGCUAACUCUGUGCCAGCAGCCGCGGUAAUACAGAGGGUGCGAGCGUUGUCCGGAAUCACUGGGCGUAAAGGGCGCGUAGGCGGUGGCCUAAGCGUGCGGUGAAAGCCCGGGGCUCAACCCCGGGUCGGCCGUGCGAACUGGGUCACUCGAGCACACUAGAGGCGAGUGGAAUUCCGGGUGUAGCGGUGGAAUGCGUAGAGAUCCGGAAGAACACCAGUGGCGAAGGCGGCUCGCUGGGGUGUAGCUGACGCUGAGGCGCGACAGCGUGGGGAGCAAACAGGAUUAGAUACCCCGGUAGC